AAGUCGUAACAAGGUUUCCGUAGGUGAACCUGCGGAAGGAUCAUUAACAAAUUCCAAAACACGCGUGUUUGAUCUAGUUGUAGAAAGUGUGUCAUAGGAUGUGGUUGUUGUCAUAGGGUUAUAGUGGUUUGACAUAGUGUAUGGUAUAGAGGAUAUAGAUGUUUUCUUUGACAAGUCGAAUUCAAACAGGGAUGUCCCCAUGCUGGGCCAUGCUGUCGAUCUUGUCUUAAGCUACAUAUAUAUAUGUUUCUGUCUCCAUACAAUAACGAUGUCAUUCUGCUACUACGACAUGUCACUGUCCUAUGAUGCGCCCUCGCUAGAUCAGUUAAACAAACACACAACACUCACAUUAUACAACAGACAACCAAGAGUAACCUAAAACGUUAAAUCGAAACAACUUUUAACAAUGGAUCUCUCGGCUCUU
rnacentral:misc_RNA from 1 species